rnacentral:rRNA from 1 species
UGGGGAAUUUUGGACAAUGGGGGAAACCCUGAUCCAGCCAUCCCGCGUGUGCGAUGAAGGCCUUCGGGUUGUAAAGCACUUUUGGCAGGAAAGAAACGUCGCGGGUUAAUACCCCGCGAAACUGACGGUACCUGCAGAAUAAGCACCGGCUAACUACGUGCCAGCAGCCGCGGUAAUACGUAGGGUGCAAGCGUUAAUCGGAAUUACUGGGCGUAAAGCGUGCGCAGGCGGUUCGGAAAGAAAGAUGUGAAAUCCCAGAGCUUAACUUUGGAACUGCAUUUUUAACUACCGGGCUAGAGUGUGUCAGAGGGAGGUGGAAUUCCGCGUGUAGCAGUGAAAUGCGUAGAUAUGCGGAGGAACACCGAUGGCGAAGGCAGCCUCCUGGGAUAACACUGACGCUCACGCACGAAAGCGUGGGGAGCAAACAGGAUUAGAUACCCUGGUAGUCCACGCCCUAAAUGAUGUCAACUAGCUGUUGGGGCCUUCGGGCCUUUGGUAGCGCAGCUAACGCGUGAAGUUGACCGCCUGGGGGAGUACGGUCGCAAGAUUAAAACUCAAAGGAAUUGGACUGGGGUC